AUUGAACGCUGGCGGCAGGCCUCACACAUGCAAGUCGAACGAGUGGCGGACGGGUGAGUAAUGUCUGGGAAACUGCCUGAUGGAGGGGGAUAACUACUUGAAACGGUAGCUAAUACCGCAUACCAUCGGAUGUGCCCAAAUGUGAGUAGAUAGUAGGUGGGGUAAAGGCUCAACUAGGCGACGAUCCCUAGCUGGUCUGACAGGAUGACCAGCCACACUUGAACUGAGACACGGUCCCGAGUCCUGCUGGAGGGAGCAGUGGGUAAUAUUGCACAAUGGGCGCAAGCCUGAUGCAGCCAUGCCGCGUGUAUGAAGAAGGCCUUCGGGUUGUAAAGUACUUUCAGCGUGGAGGCGUUACCCGCAGAAGAAGCACCGGCUAACUCCGUGCCAGCAGCCGCGGUAAUAC
rnacentral:rRNA from 1 species